rnacentral:rRNA from 1 species
CGGGACGGGUGAGUAAUGUCUGGGAAACUGCCUGAUGGAGGGGGGUAACUACUGGAAACGGUAGCUAAUACCGCAUAACGUCGCAAGACCAAAGAGGGGGACCUUCGGGCCUCUUGCCAUCAGAUGUGCCCAGAUGGGAUUAGCUAGUAGGUGGGGUAACGGCUCACCUAGGCGACGAUCCCUAGCUGGUCUGAGAGGAUGACCAGCCACACUGGAACUGAGACACGGUCCAG